rnacentral:tRNA from 1 species
AAGAGUAAGGCUGUUAAGCGCCCCAUUUACGAUGGGGAGACUCUUUUUAGAUGCUCUUU